CUCUUGAUCAUAUUAACCCUGAUUCUGGUUCUCUUCGCUCUGACUGUUGGACUUGCACUCUACAAAAUUAGACAAUUGUCCAGCAAGCUGAAGGCUCAGAAUGAGGCAGCAGGCACAUACGCGUCUCUUCAGCUCUCUUCUCCACCCUCUGAA